AGCGCACAGUAAACGGGGACUAAAGGAAGUGCAAACAGGACAAGCGCUUGUCCUGUUUGCACUUCCUUUAGUCCCCGUUUACUGUGCGCU
rnacentral:pre_miRNA from 1 species